rnacentral:rRNA from 1 species
AAACGCGAAGAACCUUACCAAGGCUUGACAUACACCGGAAACGGCCAGAGAUGGUCGCCCCCUUGUGGUCGGUGUACAGGUGGUGCAUGGUUGUCGUCAGCUCGUGUCGUGAGAUGUUGGGUUAAGUCCCGCAACGAACGCAACCCUCGUCCUAUGUUGCCAGCGCGUUAUGGCGGGGACUCAUAGGAGACUGCCGGGGUCAACUCGGAGGAAGGUGGGGAUGACGUCAAAUCAUCAUGCCCCUUAUGACCUGGGCUACACACGUGCUACAAUGGACGGUACAACGAGUCGCGAAACCGCGAGGUCAAGCUAAUCUCUUAAAGCCGUUCUCAGUUCGGAUUGUAGGCUGCAACUCGCCUACAUGAAGUUGGAAUCGCUAGUAAUCGUGGAUCAGC